rnacentral:miRNA from 1 species
GAGGAGAUUGUAUGGUCUCGAUGACCGGAAGGAAUCCCUUCCGGCCAUCGAGAUUGUAUGAUCUCGAUGACCGGAAGGAAUCCCUUCCGGUCAUCAAGACUCCACAGUCUCGAUGACCGGAAGGAAUCCCUUCCGGUCAUCAAGACUCCACAGUCUCAUC